rnacentral:tRNA from 1 species
UUAAUAUGGCAGAAAAGUGCAAUAGAUUUAAAUCCUAUAUAUAAAGACAUAUCUCAUCUUUUAUUAAAA